rnacentral:rRNA from 1 species
UACGUAGGGUGCAAGCGUUGUCCGGAAUUAUUGGGCGUAAAGAGCUCGUAGGCGGUUUGUCGCGUCGAAUGUGAAAACCCGGGGCUCAACCCCGGGCCUGCAUUCGAUACGGGCAGACUAGGGUUCGGUAGGGGAGUCUGGAAUUCCUGGUGUAGCGGUGAAAUGCGCAGAUAUCAGGAGGAACACCGGUGGCGAAGGCGGGACUCUGGGCCGAUACUGACGCUGAGGAGCGAAAGCGUGGGGAGCAAACAGG